GGGUCAUUAGCUCAGUUGGUAGAACAGCUGACUCUUAAUCAGCGGGUUGUAGGUUCAAGUCCUACGUGAGUCACCA
rnacentral:tRNA from 1 species